rnacentral:rRNA from 1 species
UACAGAGGUCCCAAGCGUUGUUCGGAUUCACUGGGCGUAAAGGGUGCGUAGGCGGUCGGGUAAGUCUGACGUGAAAUCCCGCAGCUCAACUGCGGAACUGCGUCGGAUACUAUUCGGCUUGAGGAAUGGAGGGGAGACUGGAAUUCUCGGUGUAGCAGUGGAAUGCGCAGAUAUCAGGAGGAACACCAACGGCGAAGGCAGCUCGCUGGGACGGUACUGACGCUGAGGCGCGAAAGCGUGGGGAGCAAACAGG